GAAAAUGAUUCCUUUACUCUUGUUCUCUAACCAAUUGCUGUUCUUUCUUGACUAGUUUGCUGUUUGAGAAGAUAGAACAUGUGUUGUUGGAUCCAUGCAACCAUGCAGCAAUGGAAAAAACUGGACUACCUUGUCAGAAGCCUUGUGAUGAAUUUUUCAGAGCAUACAAGAUCCUGGAUGUAAAGGAGAA